rnacentral:rRNA from 2 species
ACAGGUGGUGCAUGGUUGUCGUCAGCUCGUGUCGUGAGAUGUUGGGUUAAGUCCCGCAACGAGCGCAACCCUUUGUCUUUAGUUUGCCAUCAUUCAGUUGGGCACUCUAGAGAGACUGCCGAGGACAACUCGGAGGAAGGUGGGGAUGACGUCAAAUCAUCAUGCCCCUUAUGUCCUGGGCUACACACGUGCUACAAUGGCUGGUACAAAGAGACGCAAGACCGCGAGGUGGAGCAAAUCUCAAAAACCAGUCCCAGUUCGGAUUGUAGGCUGCAACUCGCCUGCAUGAAGUCGGAGUUGCUAGUAAUCGCAGAUCAGAAUGCUGCGGUGAAUGCGUUCCCGGGUCUU